rnacentral:rRNA from 1 species
CGUAACCGGGCUGAAGUCGUACCGUAAGGAGCGGUGGACUGGUUACGAGUGAGAAUGUUGGCAUCAGUAGCGAGAUGUGGGUGAGAAUCCCACAGGCCGAAAACCUAAGGUUUCCUCAGGAAGGUUCGUCCGCUGAGGGUUAGUCGGGACCUAAGCCGAGGCCGAAAGGCGUAGGUGAUGGACAACUGGUUGAUAUUCCAGUACCACUACCAUCGUUAUUAUCGAUGGCGUGACGCAGGAGGAUAGUGUGUGCUAGCUAUUGGAUGCUAGUCUAAGCGUUUAGGCAGUGAGAGUAGGCAAAUCCGCUCUCAUAAUGCUGAGGCGUGAUGGGGAAGGUUCUACGGAACCGAAGUACAUGAUUCCACGCUGCCAAGAAAAGCGUCUAGAGAGAGAAGUAGUGCCCGUACCGCAAACCGACACAGGUAGGUGAGGAGAGAAUCCUAAGGCCGGCGGAAGAAUUACAGUUAAGGAACUCGGCAAAUUGACCCCGUAAGUUCGCGAGAAGGGGUGCCUACGAGAGUAGGCCGCAGAGAAUAGGCCCAAGCAACUGUUUAGCAAA